rnacentral:rRNA from 1 species
GUUUUCCUACGGGAGGCAGCAGUGGGGAAUAUUGGGCAAUGGGGGGAACCCUGACCCAGCGACGCCGCGUGAGGGAAGAAGGUUUUCGGAUUGUAAACCUCUGUCCUUGGUGACGAUAAUGACGGUAGCCAAGGAGGAAGCCACGGCUAACUACGUGCCAGCAGCCGCGGUAAUACGUAGGUGGCAAGCGUUAUCCGGAUUUACUGGGUGUAAAGGGCGUGUAGGCGGGAUGGUAAGUCAGAUGUGAAAACUAUGGGCUCAACCCAUAGCCUGCAUUUGAAACUAUCGUUCUUGAGUGGUGGAGG